rnacentral:rRNA from 1 species
GACGAACGCUGGCGGCGUGCUUAACACAUGCAAGUCGAACGGAAAGGCCCCUUUGGGGGUACUCGAGUGGCGAACGGGUGAGUAACACGGGAGUAACCUGCCCUUGACUUCGGGAUAACUUCAGGAAACUGGGGCUAAUACCGGAUAGGAAUCCUUGCCGCACGGUGGGGGUUGGAAAGCUUCGGCGGUUUUGGAUGGACUCGCGGCUUAUCAGCUUGUUGGUGGGGUAGUGGCUUACCAAGGCGUUGACGGGUAGCCGGCCUGAGAGGGCGACCGGCCACAUUGGGACUGAGAUACGGCCCAGACUCCUACGGGAGGCAGCAGUGGGGAAUAUUGCACAAUGGGCGGAAGCCUGAUGCAGCAACGCCGCGUGCGGGAUGACGGCCUUCGGGUUGUAAACCGCUUUCAGCAGGGGCGAAGCUUGUGGUGACGGUACCUGCAGAAGAAGCACCGGCUAACUACGUG